GACGAACGCUGGCGGCGUGCCUAAUACAUGCAAGUAGAACGCACAGUUUAUACCGUAGCUUGCUACACCAUAAACUGUGAGUUGCGAACGGGUGAGUAACGCGUAGGUAACCUGCCUGGUAGCGGGGGAUAACUAUUGGAAACGAUAGCUAAAACCGCAUAAUAUUGAUUAUUGCAUGAUAAUUGCUUGAAAGAUGCUAUUGCAUCACUACCAGAUAGACCUGCGUUGUAUUAGCUAGUAGGUGAGGUAACGGCUCACCUAGGCGACGAUACAUAGCCGACCUGAGGGGGUGAUCGGCCAAACUGGGACUGAGACACGGCCCAGACUCCUACGGGAGGCAGCAGUAGGGAAUCUUCAGCAAUGGACGAAAGUCUGACCGAGCAACGCCGCGUGAGUGAAGGAGGUUUUCGGAUCGUAAAGCUCUGUUGUAAGAGAAGAACGGGUGUGAGAGUGGAAAGUUCACACUGUGACGGUAUCUUACCAGAAAGGGACGGCUAACUACGUG
rnacentral:rRNA from 1 species